rnacentral:rRNA from 1 species
UACGAAGGGGGCGAGCGUUAUUCGGAAUGAUUGGGUGUAAAGGGCGCGUAGGCGGCUUAAUAAGUCUGUUGUUUAAUUCUCCGGCCUAACCGGAGCCAUGCAAUGGAAACUGUUUCGCUUGAGUGUGAGAGAGAGAAGUGGAAUUCUCGGAGUAGCGGUAAAAUGCGUAGAUCUCGAGAGGAACGCCGAUGGCGAAGGCAGCUUCUUGGAGCACAACUGACGCUGAUGCGCGAAGGCAUGGGGAGCAAACAGG